rnacentral:rRNA from 1 species
GAUGAACGCUGGCGGCGUGCCUAAUACAUGCAAGUAGAACGCUGAAGGAGGAGUUUGCUCUUCUGGAUGAGUUGCGAACGGGUGAGUAACGCGUAGGUAACCUGCCUGGUAGCGGGGGAUAACUAUUGGAAACGAUAGCUAAUACCGCAUGACAACAGUUAUUGCAUGAUAACUGUUUAAAAGGGGCAACUGCUCCACUACCAGAUGGACCUGCGUUGUAUUAGCUAGUUGGUGAGGUAACGGCGCACCAAGGCGAAGAUACAUAGCCGAACUGAGAGGGUGAUCGGCCACACUGGGACUGGGACACGGCCCAGACUCCUACGGGAGGCAGCAGUAGGGAAUCUUCGGCAAUGGACGGAAGUCUGACCGAGCAACGGCGCGUGAGUGGAGAAGGUUUUCGGAUCGUAAAGCUCUGUUGUAAGAGAAGAACGGGUGUGGGAGUGGAAAGUUCACACUGUGACGGUAUCUGACCAGAAAGCGACGGCUAACUACGUG